rnacentral:rRNA from 1 species
AUACAGGUUAUGCAAUUAAAUUUAUUUGGUUAAUAGUAAUUAAUAAUUAUUAAAGGGAAAUUGUAAGGUUAUUAGGUGAAAUUUUAAUUUUAAAUUAAACUUUAUAUAAUGUUUUGAGGCUAUGAAAUUUUUAGUAUAAACUAGGAUUAGAUACCCUAUUAUUGAAAAUGUAAAUUUAAGUGCUUGAAUAGUAGUAGUUAUGUUCUUGAAAUUUAAAGGAUCUGGCGGUAUUUUAGUCUAUUCAGAGGAACCUGCCCUAUAAUUGAUAAUCCACGAUUAAUUGUACUUAUUUUAGAGGUUUGUAUACCGUCGUAGGUUGAAUGUUUUAUAAGAAAAAGAAUGUUCAAGAUUUAUGAUUAUAAAGAAAAUCAGAUCAAGGUACAGCGUAUAGAUAAGGAGAGGUGGGUUACAAUAAAUAUAUUUAUAUGGUUAAUAUAAUUAAUAUUAUAUUAUAAAGUGGAUUUGAUAGUAAUAUGGUUUAUUUUAUCUAUAUGAUUGUAGCUCUAAAAUAUGUACAUAUCGCCCGUCGCUCCCACCCUAAGGUGGGAUAAGUCGUAACAUAGUAGGUGUACUGGAAAGUGUA